UAGACAUCGUCAAAGAGUUGCUCCAGAUCUCCUCUGACUCAAUAGAAUUGCUUAGCAAACACGGUGAGAACAUUCUUCAUGUGGCAGCCAAGUAUGGUAAAGAUAAUGUAGUCGAUUUUGUGCUGAAAAAAAAAGGGGUUGAGAACCUUAUAAAUGAGAAGGACAAAGGUGGAAACACGCCACUGCAUUUGGCUACCAGGCAUGCACAUCCUAAGGUCGUAAACUAUUUAACAUGGGAUAAAAGAGUUGAUGUGAAUCUUGUGAAUAAUGAAGGCCAGACUGCUUUCGACAUUGCUGUAUCAGUGGAGCAUCCAACUUCAUUUCACCAGGUAUAUAUGACGAUUUGCAUCUUGUUUUCUGAAUUAAGGGUACUACUAUUGGUUCCACCUUGAACUGCAUGCAUUGUUAAUGCUAUGGCAUUUUCCUUCUUAGAUGCAUGCAUGUGAAUUAUUGAAAGGAUCAAUCAGGACAACAUAGUUUGUAUUUCUUUCCUAGAAGGACCGACUGAUAUUAAUAAGACCUAGUUCAACUAAAAGAAGAUCAAUUUGAUCCCAUGAUAUCCUAAAAGUCAAGAAAAUUAUGGAGCCUAACUCAAUCACCAUCACCCUCGCCCAGAUUAGGGCGACUCAACCAAGGUUAGGCUAGGUUUCUCCAGCAAGUGCAUAUACUCUUGAUGCCCGGAAAGACUUAUGGGAAUAAUUUUUUGCAUCAUACUAAAAAGUUUUCAGUGUAGAGAACUGCUAUAUCAUGUGCGCUUGUGGUUGCUCUCUUGCUGCUUCACGUUGCUUAAUUUCGUACUUCUUGUGGGUGUUCAUUGAAUUUAUAGGGAAAAGAGAAUGGCUUCCCAACAAAAUAUUUCGAAACCCAACUCAUGGAAUUAUAGUCUACUUAUACUUUCUAUAGUUAUUGUUACGACGCAUACAUUUGAUUUUCUUUCUUUCUCACGAUUGCAUUAACAGCAACAUUUUUAUCUCUACCACGCAGAGACUAGUUUGGACAGCACUCAAGUCUUAUGGUGCACGACCAGCCGGAAAUUCAAAGGUCCCACCAAAACCGUCUAAAUCACCUAAUACGGACGAGUACAAGGACAGGGUAAACACUCUUUUGUUGGUUUCGACCCUUGUUGCCACCGUGACAUUUGCUGCUGGUUUUACCAUUCCGGGAGGCUACAACAGCUCUGAUCCAGGUGCCGGCUUGGCUAUCUUUCUGAUGAGAAAUAUGUUCCAUAUGUUCGUCAUCUGCAAUACCAUUGCUAUGUAUACCGCCAUCCUCGCGGCAAUCAUCCUCAUCUGGGCACAGUUAGGUGAUCUCAAUUUGAUGGAUACUGCCUUCACAUGGGCAUUGCCAUUCUUGGGGCUGGCCCUUUAUGCAAUGUCCUUGGGCUUCAUGGCAGGUGUUUCCUUGGUGAUCAGUAAUCUUCAUUGGCUUGCAAUUGUUGUCUUCAUUAUUGGAACCAUCUGCCUUGUCAGUCUCCCAGUACCCUUUCUUUUACUCUUCCUCCCAAGUGAGUCUACUAAUCAUAUCCUUAGGUACAUCUCCUAUUAUCCGUUCCUUAUACUGGUAUGGGCAUCUGAAAGCUCCGAAAUCAAACAGGAAGAUUAGCUUGCCCUGUUGAUGAUGUAUAUUUUAUAGACCGUAAAAGCAACUCUUUUUUUGGUAACUCAUAUUUUAGUAAACCUUAAGAACCUAAAUUCCCCACGUGUUUGACAUAGAUAGGAAAUUUUGAACCUAAUCUUAACUUGAGUUUGAUGCUAGUCGCACGUAUUGAUGACGGAUUUGAUGGACAUUACGUUCAAACCCGCUAAAAGACUCAAACCCACGUAACUUUGAAUUGGUUAAAAUAAUUUUAUAAAGUGAAACGAUUAAACUUCUUACUUUAUGGGAUUGGUGUUUGUGCCUCCAAAUAGUUUCCAAGAUGUUCCAAGCGAGUUUGGAGAAGAGUGUUAGGAUUUCCUAUAAUUAUGCAUAAUAAUUAUAAGUCUAAUUCUUACAGAACAAUCAUAACCCUAGUCUUAGAACUUUGUGAUUUUCACAAAGUAAAUAAAUAAUUAAAAAAAAGAGUUAUUAAAUUCUAACUUUUGAACAAUAUCUAAAAAAAUAAAGUUUAAACCAAAAGCCCUAAUAAUAUCAAAAUCUUAUCCUAAUUAUCAUUCUUUGCCUGAACAAAAGAUACCCGAAAAAUUGUUAAUAAAGGGAAAUGAGCUUAAAACCUAAUAAGAAAUAUUAAUACAGUUUCAUGGAUAAAAUAUUUUUAAUAAAGAUUAUAAAUAGAAUAUAUAAUGUAUAAUCAUUUUUAUAAAUAAAAAAAUUUUAGUUCAAACAUGUAAUACAUUCAAACUUUUCAACAAAACAAUUUUAUAUCAAUGUCAAAACAAUUUUAUAUUAAAUUCAAAUAAAAUAUAUUCACAAUAUUUUUACUCUGGCUAUCAUUUUAUCAAAUAGUGCUCAAUUAUGUAAGACUUUACAAAUGAGUGGCUAGUCUUAAAUUUGUUUCUUUUAAGACGAAGCCAAAUACUACUAAUAUUAGUAAUCUCUAACCAAACGUAUAAAGAUUGGAGUUCAAAUCAAUUACAUUCUUUAUCAUAAAAUAUAAAUGUCAACUAUUAUAUUUCAUUGAUAGGGGUUAAAAAGUCAACUAUCGUAUCCAAUUGAUAAGGGCUAAAAAGUCGACUAUUAUAUCAUGUUGCCUAUGGCCAAACAAAGCAAAGUCAAACACUUUGUUUUAUUUAUUCAAACUUAUAAAAAUAUAAUAUUUUCACGUGUUUAUGUUAUAAACAAAAGAAAAGGUCUUAAUAUAUUUUUCAUACAAAAUAUAUUUGAUUAAUGCAUAAAAACAAAAAUAACAUUUUACACAUUUUAAAAUAACAUAUUAAAAUAAAAUCAUUUUUUUUUUACAAAAUCUAUAUUAAUUUCCCUGACCUUAAAAAACACUUAAAAUCCUUGAAGAAUUUAAUUCUGUAUAAACAACUUCUCAUCUAAUAACAUAAGAAAAACAAUAUUUAUUACUAUUAACUAUUUGAGUAAAAUUAUAAGUUUGAUAAUCCUAAAAAUUUAUAAAUUAAUAUUAAUAUUUAUAAGUAUCAAUGAUAAUUUUAUUAAUAUAUUCUUUAUUUAAGUAAAAUUAAUAAAUUUCUAAUUUAUAAAAAAAAUUUUCUCAAAUUUAAUUCUAAAAAAUAAAAAUACAUUACUAAUUUAAUUAAACUACAAUUUUUAUUUCAUUAAUUAAAUUUUAUUUAUUUAUUAACUUAACAUCCAUCCUCAUUAGCACUAUUAUACCAUUAACUAACCUUGUAGUUCACCCAACGACUCUCAACACCUAAUUAAUAUUAUAUGUGUUUUCCUCGUUCUCCCAAUAAAGGUAGGACUCGCUCACUUAUCUUUUUCUUAUUUUAUUUCUUUUCUUUCUUGCACAAACCACACUCAUGGCUACAUUCCUUUUUUUUUUUUUCCUACACACUUCCAAAAAUCACACCGUACACACUCGCCAAGAACCAAAAGCUAAUUUUUUUUUAAACACCCAAAUUCUUUUUCUUUUUUUUUCUCUUUUAUGUUGUCAUACCAAAUAAGAAAAAUUAUUUGGUAACAUACCAAAUCCAUUUUUUCUUUUUCUCAAUACCCUAAGCAUUUAAUAUAUAUAUAUAUAUAUAUAUAUAUAUAUAUAUAUAUAUAUAUAUAUAUAUAUAUAUAUAUAUAUAUAUAUAUAUAUAAAUAAAAACAAAAACUAUAAAAUAAUGAAAUGGUUAAAAAUUUUGAAAUUAAAAAAAAUAAAUAAAGACAGAGAAAGAGAAUAAAAAAAANNNNNNNNNNNNNNNNNNNNNNNNNNNNNNNNNNNNNNNNNNNNNNNNNNNNNNNNNNNNNNNNNNNNNNNNNNNNNNNNNNNNNNNNNNNNNNNNNNNNGCUCACAUAUCUCUUUCUCUUUUUUUAUUUUUUUUUUCUCGCACACAACACACACACGGAGACACUCUUUUUUUUUUUUUUCUCACACACACACAAAAAUCACACUCCACACACUCUCCAAGAAACAAAAAAUAUUUUUUUUUUAAACACACACACUCUUUUUCUUUUUUUUUCUCUUUUUUGUUGUCACACCAAAUAAAAAAAAAUAUUUUUUUACAUACCAAAAACAUUUUUUUUUUUUCUCUAUACCCCAAGCAUUUUAUAUAUAUAUAUAUAUAUAUAUAUAUAUAUAUAUAUAUAUAUAUAUAUAUAUAUAUAUAUAUAUAUAUAUAUAUAUAUAUAUAUAUAUUGAAGUUUUAAGAUAUAUUAUUUAUUUAUUAUUGUUUUAGAUCUACUAAAAAAAAUAUUCAGAAUUUCCUAUCUCUAUCAAUAAAUCAACAUUUAUUCAUAAAUUUUCACUCUUUUUUAUUUAGAAUUUAAAUAAACAAAUUAUAUUUUAAAUUGAGAUUUUUUUUAAAAUAUCUAAGUGUUUAAAAUUAAUUAUCAAAUCUAAAAUAUUAAUUUAAGGAUUAAAAUUCUACUUGGAAAACUAAUUUUCAAAUUCUAAACCUUUAAAUUUUCAAUCUAAAAUAAUAUUGUAGCAGUUAAAUGGAUGAAUAAUUGAAAAUCAUGACAUAAUUAAUGAUUUUUUAAAGAAGAAGAAGAAAACCCUAACUGUAUCCUAAAGCUCAAAAUAAAAUCUUAAAGUUAUAUUUGAUUCUCAUAGUUGAAAAAAAAGAAAAAGAAUUAUUAAGGAAAAUGAUUUUCUAAUAUGUUGUUUUAUCAUGAAAUAUAUGAAAGAAAGUGAAAUAUAAUUAAAAUUAAUAAGAAACUUAUAUAAUUUAAAAUUAUUUAAUUUUUAUCUAGAAUAGUUAAAUAAGUGAAAUGCAUUUGAAGUAAAAUAUAAAAACAAGGAAAAAGUGGAAUUUGAUUCANNNNNNNNNNNNNNNNNNNNNNNNNNNNNNNNNNNNNNNNNNNNNNNNNNNNNNNNNNNNNNNNNNNNNNNNNNNNNNNNNNNNNNNNNNNNNNNNNNNNUUCUUUUAGAUAUUUAUUAUUAUUAUUAUUAUUAUUAUUAUUAUUAUUAUUAUUAUUAUUAUUAUUAUUAUUAUUAUUAUUAUUAUUAUUAUUAUUUUAUUAAAAUGAGAAAAUCAUUUUUCUUAACAUUUUUUUCUUUACUUAGUAUUUUCUAUGGAACCAAACAUAACCUUUAUGUAUGAUGAAAAGACGUUGGAAAAACUACUAGCCAUGGAGCUAGUCGACCAAAAAGAUAAACAUGGAAGGACUUCACUUCAUUAUGCAGCAUCGAUUGGAUAUCUUGAAGGAGUUCAAACGCUCUUAGGGCAAUCUAACUUUGAUCAAUAUCAAAGGGACGACGAAGGCUUCUCACCCAUCCAUGUUGCAUCAAUGAGAGGCAAUGUAGACAUCGUCAAAGAGUUGCUCCAGGUCUCCUCUGGCUCAAUAGAAUUGCUUGGAAAACACAGUGAGAACAUUCUUCAUGUGGCAGCCAAGUAUGGUAAAGAUAAUGUUGUCAAUUUUGUGCUGAAAAAAAAGGCUUGAGAACCUUAUAAAUGAGAAGGACAAAGGUGGAAACACGCCACUGCAUUCGGCUACCAUGCAUGCACAUCCUAAGGUCGUAAACUAUUUAACAUGGGAUAAAAG
rnacentral:lncRNA from 1 species